rnacentral:rRNA from 1 species
GAUCAUGGCUCAGAUUGAACGCUGGCGGCAUGCCUUACACAUGCAAGUCGAACGGCAGCGCGGACUUCGGUCUGGCGGCGAGUGGCGAACGGGUGAGUAAUGUAUCGGAACGUGCCCAGUAGCGGGGGAUAACUACUCGAAAGAGUAGCUAAUACCGCAUACGCCCUACGGGGAAAGGGGGGGAUCGCAAGACCUCUCACUAUUGGAGCGGCCGAUAUCGGAUUAGCUAGUUGGUGAGGUAAAGGCUCACCAAGGCGACGAUCCGUAGCUGGUUUGAGAGGACGACCAGCCACACUGGGACUGAGACACGGCCCAGACUCCUACGGGAGGCAGCAGUGGGGAAUUUUGGACAAUGGGGGAAACCCUGAUCCAGCCAUUCCGCGUGUGCGAUGAAGGCCUUCGGGUUGUAAAGCACUUUUGGCAGGAAAGAAAUCGCAUCAAUUAAUACUUGGUGUGGAUGACGGUACCUGCAGAAUAAGCACCGGCUAACUACGUG